rnacentral:lncRNA from 1 species
AUGUCUUUCCCUUUUGGCAUGGACUUGUUACGACUAGGGAUAACCCCUUCGAACAAUUAAAACAAGAUCAUGUUAGGAACAGGUGGAGAACCUCGUCCUAGCAUGAGCAAAAUGAAAGUCCGAUUAUUUUAAGAUCGGAUCGGGGGAGAGGCCCAUAUAACGGCCCUUAAGUGCCCCCAUGGUCAUGUUAGGAAUAGGAGGAGAAUCUCAUCCUAACAUG